rnacentral:rRNA from 1 species
UUAAAAAGCUCGUAGUCGGAUUUCAGUAUUAGGCCCUUCUUCCAAUACGGUUGCUAGUGGUCUUUACUUCCUUAACAGAAUCUUUCAUCUCAUUAAUUUGGGGUGUUUGGGGCCUGUUUCUUUUACUUUGAGAAAAUUAGAGUGUUCAAAGCGGGUUUUCGCCUGGAUAUUACUCUUGGAAUAAUAAUAUAGGACUUUGGUUCUUUUUUGUUGGUGACUUAGAACCGAAGUAAUGAUUGAUAGGGACAGUUGGGGUCAUUCGUACUAUGAAGCGAGAGGUGAAAUUCAUGGACCUUUGUAUGACGAACUACUGCGAAAGCAUUUGACUAGGAUGUUCCCGUUGAUCAAGAACGAAAGUUGGGGGAUCGAAGACGAUCAGAUACCGUCGUAGUCUCAACCAUAAACUAUGCCAGCUAGGGAUUGGAGGAAGAUCAUUUUACGUCUCCUUCAGCACCUUAUGAGAAAUCAAAGCAUUUGGGUUCCGGGGGGAGUAUGGUCGCAAGGCUGAAACUUAAAGGAAUUGACGGGAGGGCACCACCAGGAGUGGAGCCUGCGGCUUAAUUUGAUUCAACACGGGAAAACUACCAGGUCCGGACAU